rnacentral:rRNA from 1 species
CCAUCUCAGUUCGGAUUGCAGGCUGCAACUCGCCUGCAUGAAGCUGGAAUUGCUAGUAAUCGCGGAUCAGCAAGCCGCGGUGAAUACGUUCCCGGGCCUUGUACACACCGCCCGUCACACCAUGAGAGUCGGGAACACCCGAAGUCCGUAGCCUAACCGCAAGGAGGGCGCGGCCGAAGGUGGGUUCGAUAAUUGGGGUGAAGUCGUAACAAGGUAAC